rnacentral:rRNA from 1 species
UACAGAGGCCUCGAGCGUUAGGCGGAAUCACUGGGCUUAAAGCGUGUGUAGGUGGAUGCCUAAGUACCUUGUGAAAUCCCACGGCUUAACCGUGGAACUGCUUGGUAUACUGGGUGUCUUGAGCCACUCAGGGGCUACCGGAACAAAUGGUGGAGCGGUGAAAUGCGUAGAUAUCAUUUGGAACGCCAAAGGUGAAAACAGACAGCUGGGAGUGUGCUGACGCUGAGACACGAAAGCCAGGGGAGCGAACGGG